UAUGUAGAACCAUAUUUUACAAAACAUUAUGAAUUCUCAUGAUAUCUGUAAUAUAAUAUUGUCCUUUAGCUGACUUGUUUUCUCUGUCAUCGUAGUAGAAUGGGAGGGAAAAAUAAAAAUAAAAUGACCUAGCCCGUGUUCCUUUUAAUCACAUGACGCACUAAAGAAAACCGGUAUUACUGGAAGAGGAGGAGAAAAUUUCCUUGAGACUAACAUACAACUCAUGAUGAACUAUACAACACUAUUCACAUGGAUAUAGGAAAUAAAAAGCCAUAGAGGUUUGGAAUGAAAUGUGGGUGAAUAAAUGAGGACAAUCCUUGUGUGAACAUUUCCUUUAUCUCCAGCAGCAAUGGAAUUACCCAGCAACCUCAGUCGGCAGAAUAGCAUAAAACCAAACGUUCCACCACGCAGACCAAUCCUGAUUCAUCGAGGGCCACCAAAAUGCAUACAGAGAGGAAAGUUCUUGAUGAGAAUGGAAAAGUUUGAAAAUAGACUUUUGGGAAGAAAGACGUAAGAAAACCAAAAUGAACCUAUGGGAUAAAAGACACCAGUAAACCAAACAAAAUCAUUCUGCUGGUGGGAGAGACUGGUGUUGACAAGACAACUCUCAUCAAAUACAUGGUCAACUAUUUACUCGGGGUGAAGUUUGAGAGUUGUUUAGAGUUGACUUCAGACGUCCUGAUCGAGCGCAUUCGAUUUGAAGCAUCCAUCAGCAACUUACAGCUGCG